UACGGGGGGGCAAGCGUUGUUCGGAAUUACUGGGCGUAAAGGGCUCGUAGGUGGCCAACUAAGUCAGACGUGAAAUCCCUCAGCUUAACUGGGGAACUGCGUCUGAUACUGGAUGGCUUGAGUUUGGAGAGGGAUGCGGAAUUCCAGGUGUAGCGGUGAAAUGCGUAGAUAUCUGGAGGAACACCGGUGGCGAAGGCGGCAUCCUGGACCAACACUGACACUGAUGAGCGAAAGCCAGGGGAGCAAACAGGG
rnacentral:rRNA from 1 species